AUCAAAAUUUGAAAGACCUUGUCAACGCAGCUGCCAUCAAUCAAAGCGAUGCCCCUGUGGGAGGGCAGGUGGUUCUCGUCGGCAGCGGGGUCUGUC